rnacentral:misc_RNA from 1 species
GAUGAAGAACGCAGCGAAAUGCGAUAAGUAAUGUGAAUUGCAGAAUUCAGUGAAUCAUCGAAUCUUUGAACGCACAUUGCGCCCGCCAGUAUUCUGGCGGGCAUGCCUGUCCGAGCGUCAUUUCAACCCUCGGGCCCCCCUCUGCGGGCGGCCCGGCGUUGGGGCUCAGGCGCCGUCUCUGCUCGGCGCCUGUCCCCUAAAUGCAGUGGCGGCCUCGCCGCUGCCUCCUCCGCGUAGUAGCACAAACCUCGCGGCUGGAAGGCGGCGCGGCCACGCCGUAAAACCCCCCAACUUUACCAAGGUUGACCUCGGAUCAGGUAGGAAUACCCGCUGAACUUAAGCAUAUCAAUAAGCGGAGG